UCCGACUUGACGUCGGCAGUCUCGCUAGAGUGCCCAACUUAAUGCUGACAACUAACGACAGAGGUUGCGCUCGUUGCGGGACUUAACCCAACAUCUCACGACACGAGCUGACGACGGCCAUGCAGCACCUUCUCAUCGGCUCCCCAGAAGGGCACCCCAGCAUCUCUGCCAGGUUCCGACGGAUUUAACCCAGGUAAGGUUCUGCGCGUUGCGUCGAAUUGAACCACAUGCUCCACCGCUUGUGCGGGCCCCCGUCAAUUCCUUUGAGUUUUAGCCUUGCGGCCGUACUCCCCAGGCGGAUUGCUUAUCGCGUUAGCUACGGCACGAUCGGAUUGGGUACCGAUCACACCAAGCAAUCAUCGUUUAGGGCUAGGACUAC
rnacentral:misc_RNA from 1 species